GGUUAAGUUAGAAAGGGCGCACGGUGGAUGCCUUGACACUAGGAGUCGAUGAAGGACGGGACUAACGCCGAUAUGCUUCGGGGAGCUGUAAGUAAGCUUUGAUCCGAAGAUUUCCGAAUGGGGAAACCCACCAUACGUAAUGGUAUGGUAUCCUUAUCUGAAUACAUAGGGUAAGGAAGACAGACCCAGGGAACUGAAACAUCUAAGUACCUGGAGGAAGAGAAAGCAAAUGCGAUUUCCUGAGUAGCGGCGAGCGAAACGGAACAUAGCCCAAACCAAGAGGCUUGCCUCUUGGGGUUGUAGGACAUUCUAUACGGAGUUACAAAGGAACGAGGUAGACGAAGCGACCUGGAAAGGUCCGUCGUAGAGGGUAACAACCCCGUAGUCGAAACUUCGUUCUCUCUUGAAUGUAUCCUGAGUACGGCGGAACACGUGAAAUUCCGUCGGAAUCUGGGAGGACCAUCUCCCAAGGCUAAAUACUCCCUAGUGAUCGAUAGUGAACCAGUACCGUGAGGGAAAGGUGAAAAGCACCCCGGAAGGGGAGUGAAAGAGAUCCUGAAACCGUGUGCCUACAAAUAGUCAGAGCCCGUUAACGGGUGAUGGCGUGCCUUUUGUAGAAUGAACCGGCGAGUUACGAUCCCGUGCGAGGUUAAGCUGAAGAGGCGGAGCCGCAGCGAAAGCGAGUCUGAAUAGGGCGUUUAGUACGUGGUCGUAGACCCGAAACCAGGUGAUCUACCCAUGUCCAGGGUGAAGUUCAGGUAACACUGAAUGGAGGCCCGAACCCACGCACGUUGAAAAGUGCGGGGAUGAGGUGUGGGUAGCGGAGAAAUUCCAAUCGAACCUGGAGAUAGCUGGUUCUCCCCGAAAUAGCUUUAGGGCUAGCCUUAAGUGUAAGAGUCUUGGAGGUAGAGCACUGAUUGGACUAGGGGUCCUCAUCGGAUUACCGAAUUCAGUCAAACUCCGAAUGCCAAUGACUUAUCCUUAGGAGUCAGACUGCGAGUGAUAAGAUCCGUAGUCAAAAGGGAAACAGCCCAGACCGCCAGCUAAGGUCCCAAAGUGUGUAUUAAGUGGAAAAGGAUGUGGAGUUGCUUAGACAACUAGGAUGUUGGCUUAGAAGCAGCCACCAUUUAAAGAGUGCGUAAUAGCUCACUAGUCGAGUGACUCUGCGCCGAAAAUGUACCGGGGCUAAAUACACCACCGAAGCUGCGGAUUGAUACCAAUGGUAUCAGUGGUAGGGGAGCGUUCUAAGGACAGUGAAGUCAGACCGGAAGGACUGGUGGAGUGCUUAGAAGUGAGAAUGCCGGUAUGAGUAGCGAAAGACGGGUGAGAAUCCCGUCCACCGAAUGCCUAAGGUUUCCUGAGGAAGGCUCGUCCGCUCAGGGUUAGUCAGGACCUAAGCCGAGGCCGACAGGCGUAGGCGAUGGACAACAGGUUGAUAUUCCUGUACCACCUCUUUAUCGUUUGAGCAAUGGAGGGACGCAGAAGGAUAGAAGAAGCGUGCGAUUGGUUGUGCACGUCCAAGCAGUUAGGCUGAUAA
rnacentral:rRNA from 2 species